rnacentral:rRNA from 1 species
AACGAACGCUGGCGGCAUGCCUAACACAUGCAAGUCGAACGAGACCUUCGGGUCUAGUGGCGCACGGGUGCGUAACGCGUGGGAACCUGCCCUUAGGUUCGGCAUAACUCCCCGAAAGGGGUGCUAAUACCGGAUAAUGUCUUCGGACCAAAGAUUUAUCGCCUUUGGAUGGGCCCGCGUUGGAUUAGCUAGUUGGUAGGGUAAAAGCCUACCAAGGCGCCGAUCCAUAGCUGGUCUGAGAGGAUGAUCAGCCACACUGGGACUGAGACACGGCCCAGACUCCUACGGGAGGCAGCAGUGGGGAAUAUUGGACAGUGGGCGAAAGCCUGAUCCAGCAAUGCCGCUUGAGUGAUGAAGGCCUUAGGGUUGUAAAGCUCUUUUACCCGGGAUGAUAAUGACAGUACCGGGAGAAUAAGCUCCGGCUAACUCCGUG